UUAAGUUCAGCGGGUCUUCCUACCUGAUCCGAGGUCAACCUUUUGGUCGUUGUGCGGUUUAACGGCAGGGGCACGCGGCACGCCCGGAGCGAGGUGAUUGCUACUACGCUCGGUGUGACAGCGAGCCCGCCACUGGUUUUCAGGGCCUGCGGGCAGCCGCAGGUCCCCAACACAAGCCCGGGGGCUCGAUGGUCGAAAUG
rnacentral:misc_RNA from 1 species